AUGGCCUCACCAAACUCCUCCCACGCCCGAGAUUUUGCCUCGGCAUCUGCCACUGCUGCAUCCCGAUUGGCUAUACCCAUCUGCUGCCUUCGGAGACCCACAGACCAGCCACACCCUGUAGGGCUCCUUCUUCAGCCUGACGGCUCCCUGAACCUCUGGUGUCCACCAGCGGGUACUGAGGUUGCAACCACGACUGGCACCGGCCACCUUGCGACCACAGCUAGCAACAGCCACCUCAAAAAUCACAGAGUGGAACAAGGCCAACUCGGAGUCAAUGUCCCCCACUGCUCUCGGGACGCGGUCAAAGCUCUGCCAGAGGUGGGAGUUGAAGACCGUCUUGACAGCUUCUUCUGCCAAGCGUUCCCAGCAGACCCUCACUAUGCGUUUGGGUCUGCCAGGUCUACGCGGCAUCUUCCCCUGCCAUCUGAUCCAACCAGGCGUCUUGGGGCUAACACAAAGCCAGCCCCAGCCCUCCGCCUCUCACCCAGAGCAACUCCAGCAAAGGAGAGUGUCCAACCCCUCUCAAGGACUUGGGUUCCAGAGCCAAUUCUAUGUGUCGAGGUGAGUCUUACUAUAUCUAGCCGGUACCGCUCAACCUCUGCCACAAGCUCCUUCCCCACCAGCGAGGUGACAUUCCAUGUCCCUAUAACCAGUUUCCUUGUCCGAGGAUCGGACCGCCAAGGCUCCCGCCCCAGUCUGCCACCCGAUCCACACUGCACCGAACCCUUCAUGUUCCUCCUGCGGGUGGUGGGUCCACAGUUGGAUGAGCCCAUGUAUCCGGUUCGGGCUGGGCCCGGGCGGGCGCCAUAUGCAAAAGCCCGGCCACUAUGUGCUCGCUCACAGGCCCCAACCCCAGGACCGGCUCCAGGGUUGGACCCCGGUAACCCUCUGGGCCGGGUACUCCGACUCUUUGUUUUAACGUCCAUGAAAGAUCUGGCUGUCAAAUCUAAAAAAAAAAGUGAGCACUGUGCAUUCUACAUACAGUUAAAUCGACUCAUUUUCAAUGUGCCCAAUUUUCUACUUGAAUAA
rnacentral:lncRNA from 1 species